UUUAUGGAGAGUUUGAUCCUGGCUCAGGAUGAACGCUGGCGGCGUGCCUAAUACAUGCAAGUCGAGCGAACAGAUAAGGAGCUUGCUCCUUUGACGUUAGCGGCGGACGGGUGAGUAACACGUGGGUAACCUACC
rnacentral:rRNA from 1 species